rnacentral:tRNA from 1 species
GGGCGGGUAGCUCAGUUGGCUAGAGCAUUUGCUUUACACGCAAAGGGUCCGGGGUUCGAGUCCCUGUCCGCUCA